GGUAAUGCCGGAUGCUCCGACUCCUCGCAUGGGGUGUCGGGAAAGAUUUCAUCGGUAUGGGAUGGGGUCGCGUCCUAUCAGGUAGUCGGCGGGGUAACGGCCCACCGAGCCUACGACGGGUAGCCGGCCUGAGAGGGCGACCGGCCACAUUGGGACUGAGAUACGGCCCAGACUCCUACGGGAGGCAGCAGUGGGGAAUAUUGCACAAUGGGCGCAAGCCUGAUGCAGCGACGCCGCGUGCGGGAUGACGGCCUUCGGGUUGUAAACCGCUUUUGAUCGGGAGCAAGCCUUCGGGUGAGUGUACCUUUCGAAUAAGCACCGGCUAACUACGUGCCAGCAGCCGCGGUAAUACGUAGGGUGCAAGCGUUAUCCGGAAUUAUUGGGCGUAAAGGGCUCGUAGGCGGUUCGUCGCGUCCGGUGUGAAAGUCCAUCGCUUAACGGUGGAUCUGCGCCGGGUACGGGCGGGCUGGAGUGCGGUAGGGGAGACUGGAAUUCCCGGUGUAACGGUGGAAUGUGUAGAUAUCGGAAAAGAACACCA
rnacentral:rRNA from 1 species